rnacentral:lncRNA from 1 species
CCUUAGCGCUCUCUGGCAUUUCCUGUUCAGUGCUCAACUGCGGAGCGCUGUGCCCUCCAGGCCCUGGCCUCUGAUAACUCAGGGGAACCUGGGCUUCCUGCCCCUUUGCAAAUAGGCAGAGGGCAGGGGAGAGCUCUGGUGUGCCCCCGGUAAAGGAAGAAGGCUUUCCAAGCAGGAGGCUUGCAGGGAGCACCCUGAGGCCAGGGCAACCUGCGGUCCUUGCUGGGACAGUUAGGACAAUGCUGCCAGGUGGGGGACAAGAGGUGAAAGCAAACACCAGGAGCACGAUAGGGAUUCAAUGUUAAGGUGAGCACAAGCUUGAACAAAGGCAGUUUCCCCAGGUGCAGCUAACUACAAGGCAAACUGAUAAGAGCUAAAAGAAGAAGGCUGGAUGAGGAGCGGGGCAGCAGGGCAUCAUGUCAGCCAUCAGUGUGUUCUAGAAGAUCCAAGAGGAGGCUGGCAGUCGGGACUCAGCAGACGGAAACGGCUGAGCUUAACUGACCACAUGCACAUGAAGAGGCACAUCCUGCUCCGUGGAGAACACAGAGAAGCACUGAUGGACACCUACGACUCUGGGGGAAGGCCUCGAACUCACAGAGAUCCACUUGGAUCUGCCUCCCGUGCAUGCUGGGAUAAAAGGCCUGUGCUCCCUCCUGCCCCCAAGUUCCAGUCGUUUCUUGUUCCCAUUGCUUGGUUGACAGGAGUGUUGGCUGAAGCUUAAGGGACACAGGUAAAGUCCAAGGCACAACAACUGUCAGUUAGGUGGUUCCUAUGGCAACGGUUACUGUUGCUUUGCUGAUGUCUCUAACCAAGAUUACCCUCCAGCAGCUGACUUACCGUGAUCUUGAGGACCUGUGCAAUCAAGGGCUUCCUUCUAGUUGGUUACCCCCUGGUCCCAUCCAACUGCUGGAACAGCUGUCCUCCAGAAGCCCUUUGGUAGCACCUGUCAGCAGAGUUGUCUGUGGCUUUUUUCCCUCCAUUUAUUCCUAUGCUGAGAAUUGAGAGCUGAUCUUUGACUUAUGAAUGCAGGGCUAGCAGGCUCUCGAUCUCACUGGUGUCUGCACCUAGCACCCCCCUACUCCAGGGCAAAGCAUUCACUCCUCAGAGAGCCAGGGAGAGGGGGUCAGGCCAGCUCUUGUUUCUACAAUGGUAUCUAUGCAGGGCUGUAACUAUGGGCCACACUCACCUGGAGCAGCCUCUUUUUCCUGUGAAGGACCCAGGAACCCCUUACAAACAACAUAUAUGUGGAUCUUAAAGCCACUAACAGAUCCCCAGGCACCCAGAUUCCAAGAGAUAUAUCCCCUACUUGUACAAUGGGCACAACUCAAUUAAGUAAGCCUCACCCCUGUAAACUGUCUCCAUACCUUCAGAGUUGCACGUCUCUUCCUAGAAUACAAAACCCUCCUCCAUUUCCUCUGCUACCAGCCAUGGAAUCAGAGACAGCCUGACUACAUAAAACCUCUCCCUGCCUAUGGGACCUCUAAGAAGAGACUCUCCAUUCUGCCCUUUGGACCUGGAUACUCCUCAGAGUCCCUACCAUACUGUUUGCCUGACUAUGGGUCUGAGGCCCAAAUUCUCCUCAAACCCCCUGAUAUGUGUCUGUAAGCCUAUAUGCCCAUGCCAUCAGUAACUCUUCUAAUAAAUCUCUUAC